rnacentral:rRNA from 1 species
GACGAACGCUGGCGGCGUGCCUAACACAUGCAAGUCGAGCGGAUGAAGUUCCUUCGGGAAUGGAUUUAGCGGCGGACGGGUGAGUAACACGUGGGCAACCUGCCUCAUAGAGGGGAAUAGCCUCCCGAAAGGGAGAUUAAUACCGCAUAAGAUUGUAGUACCGCAUGAUACAGCAAUUAAAGGAGCAAUCCGCUAUGAGAUGGGCCCGCGGCGCAUUAGCUAGUUGGUGAGGUAAUGGCUCACCAAGGCGACGAUGCGUAGCCGACCUGAGAGGGUGAUCGGCCACAUUGGGACUGAGACACGGCCCAGACUCCUACGGGAGGCAGCAGUGGGGAAUAUUGCACAAUGGGGGAAACCCUGAUGCAGCAACGCCGCGUGAGUGAUGACGGCCUUCGGGUUGUAAAGCUCUGUCUUCAGGGACGAUAAUGACGGUACCUGAGGAGGAAGCCACGGCUAACUACGUG